AUGCAACAUAUUACAGAAAGGCCCAACAGAAAGAGAAAAUUACAACCCAGGCCGGACAUUUUGCAGAUAGGACCCCAGACAACAAAAAUGAAAAGCAAUCGAGUCCUCUUCGCCGUCUUCGAUCCUGGCCCGAUCCCACCACCACCGGGGACGAAACCACUUGGGGUGAAGGAAUGGCUACAACACCGCCGGCAAACAACCGGAGGUAGACCAUGGAAAUACCAGGACAAAGAACCAGAUAAACUGCCUCCCAUAUGGCUCGGCGGCCAGGAGGAAAUACAGGAGCCGGACGUCGUCGCCAGAACUCCGAGUGGUCGCCUUUCGACCAGCAGAUACAGCGGUGCAGUGGCAAGAAACUCCUGGUGCUCUCUGCACCAAGAUCCCCAACCAUUUGCUGCAGAACUUGGGCUCCAAGGACACGCAGAGAGGAUAGAGCAGCCAAAUCCCCUUUCUUCCUCUUCUUCCAAUCCACCUCCAUGGCAGCUCGAGGAGAAGUAA
rnacentral:rRNA from 1 species